rnacentral:rRNA from 1 species
UACGUAGGGUGCAAGCGUUAUCCGGAAUUAUUGGGCGUAAAGAGCUCGUAGGCGGUUUGUCGCGUCUGCUGUGAAAACUGGAGGCUCAACCUCCAGCCUGCAGUGGGUACGGGCAAACUAGAGUGCGGUAGGGGGAGAUUGGAAUUCCUGGUGUAGCGGUGGAAUGCGCAGAUAUCAGGAGGAACACCAAUGGCGAAGGCAGAUCUCUGGGCCGUAACUGACGCUGAGGAGCGAAAGCAUGGGGAGCGAACAGG